UUUUAGGUUUUCGCUAGCGAGUAACGUUUGUAGCUGUUGCCUAUAGAAAUUGGUACCAUGAGUCACAUUUUUGACAUACGCUAUCGAGCAAUACGUUAUCGACUGUAGUAAUCUAUUUCACUGGCAUAUUGGAGCGUGAAAACUUAUUAGAAUUCGUGUUAUAGUAUAUUUUCUUAUCAUUAUUUAUGUAAAUAAUGUCAGCAAGGCAUUAUUUGGCAUGGGAUAUGUUAGCGAAAGCUGCAUAUGAAGACGAACGACGUGAACAAGGAAAAUAUCAAGCCGAUAUGAGAAAAAUAUUAAGAAACCCACUUCAACACAUAAGUGAGAAUAAUUUUAUUAAAGAAUAUAGGCUCAGCAAGGAAGCUUUUGAGGAUUUGUGUGAUUUGUUAAUAAAUCAUGCGGAUUUGAAAUCCACUCAAAGAGUGUCAGUGGAAUCAAAGUUAAGUAUAAAUUCUAUAAAAGUGUUAAGUACUUAUACAUUUUAUUUGACAUUUAUGAGUGUUAUUUUGUAAUUAACCAACAAACUAACUCUUGCAGGUUUUAUGUGCAUUACUAUUUUAUGCACAAGGUAGUUACCAACGCAUGACUGGCAAGGCACACCAUUUUUCGCAGGAAGCAAUGAGUGUUUACAUUGAAGAGGUAACAGCCGCGUUGAACCACCCCAAUAUUCUAAAAAUGUUUAUACAUUUUCCAACCACACGCGAAGAAAGAGAUGACAUUAGACAAAGUUUUUUCAAUAAAUAUGGAAUCCCAGGGGUGAUAGGAAGCAUUGACUGCAGCCACUUCAAGAUAUUUACACCCAAAAAGGAAGAAGAACACUUAUAUUUCUGUAGAAAGCAUUAUCACUCAAUGAAUGUACAAAUGAUAUGUGAUCACGAUUGUAAAAUUUUAUCCAUUAAUGCUAAGUUUGGAGGUGCAGCCCAUGAUUCUUUCAUAUGGGAAAAUA